AGCAGCCGCGGUAAUUCCAGCUCCAAUAGCGUAUAUUAAAGUUGUUGCAGUUAAAAAGCUCGUAGUUGAAUUUCGGGAUUCUUCCGUUGGUCAGGCUAACAAGUCUGUACUAGCGUGUAGAAUCUCUACCUUCUGGGGAACCAUCAUGUUAUUAAUUUAGCGUGGUGGGAAACCAGGACCUUUACCUUAGAAAAAAUUAGAGUGUUUAA
rnacentral:rRNA from 1 species